rnacentral:pre_miRNA from 2 species
AUGAGCAAGAUGGAGAAGCAGGGCACGUGCAUUACUAGCUCAUAUAUACACUCUCACCACAAAUGCGUGUAUAUAUGCGGAAUUUUGUGAUAUAGAUGUGUGUGUGCGUUGAGUGUGAUGAUAUGGAUGAGUUAGUUCUUCAUGUGCCCAUCUUCACCAUCAUGACCAC